GAUGAACGCUGGCGGCGUGCCUAAUACAUGCAAGUCGAGCGAACGGACGAGAAGCUUGCUUCUCUGAUGUUAGCGGCGGACGGGUGAGUAACACGUGGAUAACCUACCUAUAAGACUGGGAUAACUUCGGGAAACCGGAGCUAAUACCGGAUAAUAUUUUGAACCGCAUGGUUCAAAAGUGAAAGACGGUCUUGCUGUCUCUUCUAGAUGGUUCCGCGCUGCAUUAGCUAGUUGGUAAGGUAACGGCUUACCAAGGCAACGAUGCAUAGCCGACCUGAGAGGGUGAUCGGCCACACUGGAACUGAGACACGGUCCAGACUCCUACGGGACGCAGCAGUAGGGAAUCUUCCGCAAUGGGCGAAAGCCUGACGGAGCAACGCCACGUGAGAGAUGAAGGUCUUCGGAUCGUAAAACUCUGUUAUUAGGGAAGAACAGAUGUGUAAGUAACUGUGCACAUCUUGACGGUACCUAAUCAGAAAGCCACGGCUAACUACGUG
rnacentral:rRNA from 1 species